rnacentral:tRNA from 4 species
GGGUCGUUAGCUCAGUUGGUAGAGCAGUUGACUUUUAAUCAAUUGGUCGCAGGUUCGAAUCCUUCACGACCCACCA